CAGUCGCCACGGUAAUACGAAGGGUGCAAGCGUUAAUCGGAAUUACUGGGCGUAAAGGGUGCGUAGGCGGUUGUUUAAGUCUGUUGUGAAAUCCCCGGGCUCAACCUGGGAAUGGCAAUGGAAACUGGACGGCUAGAGUGUGUCAGAGGAUGGUAGAAUUCCAGGUGUAGCGGUGAAAUGCGUAGAGAUCUGGAGGAAUACCGGUGGCGAAGGCGGCCCCCUGGACAAAGACUGACGCUCAGGUGCGAAAGCGUGGGGAGCAAACAGGAUUAGAUACCCCUGUAGUCCCUGUCUCUUAUAA
rnacentral:rRNA from 1 species